CAGAAGUUGACAAGUAUUUGGCUGAAGAAAUUGAGAUGGAUAAGGAUGAUUUUAAUAUUUUAAGUUGGUGGAAGUUGAAUGAGCCUAGAUUUCCCAUUCUCUCUCAAUUGGCAAGGGAUGUUUUGGCUGUCCCAAUUUCUACUGUUGCUUCUGAGUCUACUUUCAGCACUGGAGGACGUGUGCUAGAUUCAUUUAGGAGCUCUUUAACUCCUAAAGUUGUGCAAUCUCUUGUUUGUGGUCAAGACUGGCUUCGCCACUCACUUCCGGUUCUAGUAGAAGAGAAGAUAGAUGACGCACAAAAGAUUGAGAGAGAUCUUCAAAAAAUUGCUAUAGAAGCGAAUGUGGAUGUACUAUGAGCCUUUGUUCUUAAUGACUUGAGUCAUGGCAGCAACAGCACCUGAGGCUGAGGAAUCACAAUUUGAUGCUCGUCAAUAUGACACCAAAAUUAAUGAAUUGUUGCAAGAUGCUAGUGCUAUGGUACUCCAUUUAUGAAGGUUGCUCAUUUUAUUUUGUUUUACUAAUUUGGAUAUUUGAUUAUUGUAAUGGUUUAAUUUUAAUAUUUUAAAGACUUGUUGGUUUCUAUAACUGGAUUAUAUAGUACUGUGGUUGUUUAAUUUUAAUAUUUGAAGUUA